rnacentral:lncRNA from 1 species
UAAGAAUGCGUGCAGCAGUGAGUACUUUGGUUUGGAUUUUAAUAGAAGUCUUUCUAAAAGCAUUGCAAGAGUGUGAUGCUGAGAUUGUAUUUCCGAAACGCCGCCACGAUAAACGUUUACAAAACGAUUUAAGCACAUCAAAAAAGAAUGGAGUUCAUGAAGAACAUGUAACAUACGAAGUUAAAUCAAAAAAAGCUCUGCAUGUUUUAGAUUUAAAAAAAGCUAGAGAAAUACACCAAGGUUUUAUUUGGCUUCGAUCUUUUGAGAAUGGAAAGGAAGUUGCA